rnacentral:sRNA from 1 species
ACUGAUCUCAGUCCUUAACAGAUACAGAAACUGAGGCAGGAAGGACAUUUGGGAGCUAUAAGCAGGAAUGCCAUAGCCUGACCCAUCGACCAAUCUGACUCUUAUGGAGGAGGAAAGAUGCCCGCAAAAACUACGCUAACCGCCCCCCAACCCCGAAAGCCGUCCAAAUAUUUUACAAGAUAACUUUGUCUGUGGGACAUAAAAGGAUAGCAUAGAAGCAGCUGCAGGGCCCAAUUCAUUUCUCCGAGUUAGCGGCAGAAGGUCUUCCGGUCGAGUUUCGAAUCUUUGUUUCGUUUUGUUUCAAAGAAAGAAGCAGUCGCUUCAGUAAUCAGAACACAAACUAAGCUAAAGACAGGCUCCAAGUUCGUCCGAGUUGCCCAGCUGGUGAACUUUUCUCCAAGAUAUUUCCCCUGACUGACAUCCUGAGGGUCCACUAAAUUGGAUUCUCAGUGUUGGCAAGCACCUCGAAACACUUGGGCCUUUUCAAAACCAGAAAAUAGCUGGAAAUGCUGUAAGUGCUAUACGUGACUUCAGAUGCUCUUCACUGUAGUAAGCAAUUAAGAAAAUCACUUCCUCCUAUGAGUUGAAGGGAGAAAAAAAUCGAGCUAAGAUUAUCUUCAAUUCUGGGAGCUGAAUGAAAGCAUGGAAUUGUUUGGAGGAGGAACACUAAGAUGACAGACCCGAACUCUGACUGGGAGCUGGGCCUAGGAUCUUCUCUCAAUUUACCUUGAGAGAGGAAACCAGUUGACUCCCCAGACCAAAAACUGUGACAGGCAUUUCUCAAGAGGUGGAAAGUGGUCCCCAUGGAGGCUUCAGCCUGACCAGGACUCUCUCCCAAAGCCAGCUUCUAGGACUUGACCAGUGGCUCCAGGCAGAAGGACUCAUUCUUGUCUCAGCAGCUAAGAAAGUGCUUGGAUGAUUCAUCAACUGAGACAACUUGUCACUAAGACUUAAUGCACUUAAAGCAUUUGCUGCUGAGUUGCUAAGAAAUGCAAGCUACCCAGAGCUGUGUGGAUUCAUUCAGUCAAAAACAAGUUCCAUUUGUGGCCCAAUAUACCACUCUUUGACAUGUAUCCAAAGCUCUCCUUGCCCUACUCCACAGAUACCAGCUUAACCCUGUUCAUUGCUCCUAUUCACAAGAGCCAGGAACUGGAAACAACCUAGCUGUCCAUCAGCAGAUGAAUAGAUAAUGAAAUUGUGGUACAUGUGCACUGGGGAAUACUAUUCGGCCGUAAAGAAAAAUGAAAUCAGGAAAUCUGGAGGUAAGCAGAAAAGACCGGAUUGAGUGAGGUAACCCAGACCCACAAAGACAAAUCUCCCAUGUUUGUCUCAUGGGAGGGGCCUAGCUCCAGAACUCCAGAUGUCCGUACAUGUCACAGAGUAACUGUGGAAACCAGGAAAGUAAAAAGGGGCCAUGGCCUGGCUGGAGGAGUGGAGAAGCAAUAGAGAUGGGGGAAAUGAGUUAAAUAGGAAUGCUAUAAUUAGGGAGAGGAGAGGGCAAAGCUCCAGAAGAAGGAUGGAGGAGGGUAACAUAGCAGUAAGGAUGUCCUAGUCACACUAUUAACUAUCUACCUAAAAAGACCUAUGAUAAAAGGAAGUCACUGUGUAAGUAUACAAAUAUGGCUUAAAUGAAAUCUUCCCAUCCAAUGCCUCCUCCAAGAAUCAAAGACCAUCUGAAAAAGAAAAGACAAACAAACAAACAAAAAAAAAAAAACAACACCCCAAAACACCAGGCAUGACACAGGCCCUCCUGAGUUGCUGGUCAGAGUUGGCAGAGACCCUAAAAACACAGAGAUUCUCAAUUGGUGCAUCACAAAUCCUUUAAGAGUCAAAUGGCCUUCCAUGGGGUCUCCUAAGACCACUGGAGAAUGCAGAUAUUUAUAUUACAAUUCAUAACAGUAACAUAACUGCAGUUAUGAAAUAUGAACAAAAGUGAUGUUAUGGUUGGGGGUUACCACAACAUGAGGAACUAUAUUAAAGAGUCAAAGAAUGAGGAAGGAUGAGAACCACUGCCCUAGGCUACUGUUGGUACUGUUGCCUCCCAAGCAUGGAAGGUAAGUUUCUAUUGCUGAAGACACCAGGUAUUCGACACAGUGCCCAGAAGCAUCAGAGUUGGAACUUAUCUGGAUGUCCCCUCCCUUGGGACCAGCUUUCACAGUACCAGAAGGCAGCACACAGCUUUCAACAGAGGGAUGAAACCAAAGAGUCCGACCCAGCUCUGAUGCCUGGGAACCACAACCAUGGCCGGCCUGGCACAAUCACGCUAAGGUUAUAUUAACUGUGCACACACUCUGGCAAGUAACCAAUAGCUCUCUAAUCAUACUUAAGACCUCACGACUGCACAGCAAGCACUCUCAACUGAUGAGCUCCCAUCUCUCUAGCAUGGCCACUGCUUAUUCGGAGAGAAUUAUGUGUGUGUGUUAAUCUGUUUAAUUUUCAUAGCACUGUAAAGAAAGUAGUAGCAGUAGUAGUAGC